rnacentral:lncRNA from 1 species
GUUACCUUGGAUACCGCCGCUACGUCGGUUUUCGCGCCGGCCGGACCUGAAAUCCCACGCAAUGUGAAAAAUGACUUGAAUUUCCGUUGACUACCAACACCUUUCGGGAUUUUCGGAAUUUUCUUCAAAAUUUACAAGUGAAAGCCGAGAGUGCAAUUAAAAAAACCCCUCAAAAUUAAUCUUAGUACCCAAAUUUUCCACGAUUCAAAGUGUUUCUGACAGAUGAGUGAUCGAGUGCCAAGGUUAGUUUCUGCACAAGUUCGGAAAGUCGGAAACUUUGGAAGUAUCAUAAUCUGAGGGAGCGCCACAAAUGGUGAACAACCGACCCCCGCAAUAGAAUGCCCUCGAUGAAUCAGUCGCAGAGUUGCAAGCAGUGCAAAGAACCCCCGCAGUGCCAGCAGAAGUGCCAGCAACAGCCCCAACCGCGGUGCAUACAGUCCCAGCCCAAGUGCCAGAAACCUCCUCAACCGCGGUGUAUACAGUCCCAGCCCGCGUGUCAAAAACAAUCUCAUCCGCGGUGUAUUCAGGCCCAGCCCAAGUGUCAAAAGCAACCUAAGUGCCAGCAGUCUCAGAUAAAGUGUCAGCUGCCCCAGCCGAAGUGCCAGCAGUCCCAGCCAAAGUGCCAGCAGUCCCAGCCGCGGUGCGAGAAGGAUGCUGACGACGCUGCCGCGUGCUGCCCGAGCAAGGGAUCGGCCCGAGGGUGCCCGGCCUCGUUCGGCCACGAGCGAGGGCGGAAGUGCGGAGCGGCGCCCUGCAGGGCGAGGACGGGCGCCUGCGGCGCCCGCAGCCCCUGCUGUCCGUCCCCGGCCCGACCCUCCUCCCUGCGGGUCAACAGGGCCGCUCAGCUCUGCCUCCCCGGGGGCAGAUCCCGGCUCUGCCUCACAAGACCCACCUGCAACCGGGUAACUGGACAAGACGGUUGUAACCUGAUUCCCCGAUACAUGAAGCUGUUCGGCAAAACGAAAAGGUCAAUAAUGAAGAGGAGAGGUAGCAACUGUAGCUUGUGUUACGAUUGUCCCCACCUUGAGACAUUGACAUCUGGUGGUCAAUGUGGUUGUGGUUGUGGAAAUACCGAUGAUCUCUGGGCUGUUCAGUCUUCUGAAAAUAUUCUUCCAGCUGGUCACGGUGGCCACAGAGAUCAAAGUGGUCAUAGAGGUCAAGGUGGUCAUGGUGGUCAUGGUGGUCAUGGUGGUCAUGGUGGUCAAGGUGGUCAUGGUGGUCAUGGUGGUCAUGGUGGUCACGGUGGUCAUGGUGGUCAAAGUGGUCAUAAUGGUCAAACAGAUCAUAGUGGUUGUCGAUGUGGAAAUGCCGAUGAUUUAUGGGCGGUCGAGUCUCGCGAAAAUAUCAGCGCCGGUAGCCCCGGGAAGGCAACCAAUCGAAGCACCGGAAUGUUGGAAAUUGUUUCGCAGAUACUGGACGGCGUGCCUGCAGAACUUUUGUUCCUCGGGCUGAUGAAAGCAAAAGCUAGGCAUCUUAAAGGAAGAAAUCCAUGUGAAAAUCUUUAAGUAGCAGUGUCGGUUGCUGUGUUACUUCCUUAAAAAGAUGGAUGAAUGAGCGCCGGGCGAACCAAGGAGUCUGCAAUGGGCCGAGCAGGGACCAGUUAUUCCGUUGCUGUCCCAAACCUCGACUCAAGCCCCCUCCCUCUCCGAUUUCCUGCGAUGCACUUUGCUGCAACCCCUGCAAGUGCAACUCCCAGACGAGGGGCAAGAAGAAAAAGUGCCGCCAAGUGCCAUCGUGUUUCGACUGCGCCUGCAACUCCACGAAUAGAUGACCCGCCGAUAAGACAUUCAAAUUUCACUGAAAAAGCUAUUAAGACGACGAGAAGUUCGAAAAUCGACUUUUGAGGAAGAUAUAAAUCAUUGUUUCGAUGAAGAUCGUUGUUAAAUAGCAAAAAUACCAAUACUAUGAGCACCAGUUGGACUACAUUUUACAGUGAGUCAGUUGCGCUGGUCAUAGAAUUGUGUCUUGAUGCUUGAUUCUUGUAGAUCAGCUGAAAGAAACAAGAUUUUUCCAAACAGCAUCUUUCCUGGUUCAAUAUUUACCGAGGUACAGCGAUUUGAAAAAUUCGGUUUAUGACGUCAUCCACCGCGGUAGUGAUAUCCUCAGUUUUCUCAGUGGCGUGGCGUGCUUUGCGAUAUAUCAAUUGUUCUGCCAUUUAACUUAUCGUAAAGAAUCGAUUAUUAAGGUGUUCGCUGCGAACACCCUGAUUAUCGAUUCUUUUCCAUACGUUUAAAUGGCAUAACAAUCGAUAUAUCGCAAAGCACGCCACGCCACUGAGUUUUCUCCACCUUGCUUUCAUGCAGGUUUCACGUUGAGUAACCAGUGAAAAUUCAUGUCCCCCUGACCAAUGAAAGCAAUGCAGAACAAACUAAUGGUGUCGCUACCGCCGUGGAUGACGUCAUUAAACGAUUUUUUAAAGCGCGCUAUCUUCGUUAAUAUUGAACAUGGAGAGUCGCUAUUUAGACAGAUCUUGUUACUUUUAGCUAAUCCACAAGAAUCAAGCAUCGAAACACAAUAAUUCUGUGACCAGCACAACUCAUACGGUAAGAACCGCAAUCUCUGGCUCAAUCUAGAAACAACGUAUGUAUCAUUAGUUUUUCGGUUUACAUACGUGUUUUUAUGGAUGAGUCCGGGAUUUAAGCUCUAAUUGCAAAAUGAAGUCAAUUCGAUCACUGAUGUGAGGACGUGGACUGCCGUGUUAAGGAGAACUGCCCUAUGAGCUUUUAGGCGUUGCCAAAUUUCUUUUGAUAAAUCAAGGAUUUUUUGUGAUGUCAUGAAUUUUUUUCUUCCAAUUUUUCAGUUUAUUUUGUUCGUGAUUUCACUUAAAGUUCCUGAAAAAAUUGAGAAACUAAUAUGCAUGACUUUCCUAAAAAUAAAUAUUUCAUCGAGGGAAAUUUAGCAACUCUGAAAUGUGCAUACGGCGUCCUUCCUCAUUACGGCAGUAUAAAUGUAACGAGUGAUAUCCUGCUGACGAGUUGAUCUCCGAACUCCUCGUUGCGUGAUGCACAGAAUUUGUAAGGAUCAUUGGCGGAUCCAGCAAAUUGGCAACAUUGGUUUUCUCCAUUUCAACCUAUGGAACUUUAUUGAUUUUUGGAGGGGCCAGGUGCUGCAACAAGAAUCGAUUAUUGAACGUAGGUUUAAAUGGAGGAAAUCCGGUGUUGCCAAAUUGCUGGAUCCGCUUCUAUUAAGGGAAGGCAUGAAAGGUGUUUCUGUAAAUAUUGUCUGGUAGCACUAUCUCAUCACUUGUACUGUCACAAACAGCACCCUCCCCCCUCCCCAAGCAAAAAUGCAGGACGACAUGAAAAGCCCCCCCCCCCAAAAGGCAGACCUCAUUGUCAGAAAUUAUCGUUGACAAUCCUCAGAAUUCACACAGGUUUGCUGCACGUAGGGACUCUCCCAAUUUAGGAUCCUUUUUGAUAUGAAGACUUCCAAGCCAAAGUUUAUGGCAAUCAAACCACUAAAAACAGUGCCCAUGACCACUCCCUAAAUCCGUAUCAUAGAUAAAAGUAGAGCUCUCAAAGUGGCGUCACGCGGGGUCACGUGACACUCACAAUCAGUGCGACCUUCAAAGAUUGUCGGGCCGAUGAUCUUUAGGUAGUGUCAUAGAUCAAAUCGUGCUAUCAACAUAUUAAGGUCAGGCGUUGUGAUUAGCUUAUUCAAUGAGUUGCGCGAAAAACAGAUUUUGACCUUGAUCUAUUGACAACACCGUUUGAUCGUGUGACAAUAAUUUCUGAGGGUCACGUGACUUCACUUAGAGAGCUCUGCUUGGAUCUACCAUACGGGCUCUAAAAAAGCGAGUACUUUAAAAAUAGGUCAGUUGAGACAGCCACAGAAUCGUGCUUUGAUGAUUUUAGAUUAUGGAUCAGCAAUAAAUUACAGAGACACGUCCAAAAACUGAGUUUAAAAUCAAAUGUUAACGGAUACAUCGGAACAGCGAAUGACAUCAUCCACCGCGGAGGUGGUUACCAUUGGUUCUUCCACCCUCAUCUGUUUUUAAGUCGUGUUUAAUUCUUGCAAAUCUCUGCUUGGCUGACAAGGGUGUAAAUACACUCAGAGAUGAGCCCGGGAAAGCAUUGGUUUAGAUGUGCGACAGGGUUCAUUGCCCAGUGUAGUUGCGUCCUUAUGUCAGGGAGGCGACGAAUUUUGUCAUCACUAAUUUAUUAAUCCACGGUGGAAGAAACUAUGGCAUGUACUACCGCGGUAGAUGCUUUCAUAAACCGUGUUUUUCUAAGGGAAAUCCUUCCGUUAGUAUUGGACGUAAGAACUAGGCGUUUGGUCAGACCUUAAUAUAUUUUUUUUUUUUUGUUAAUCUAUGUGCUCACACCAUCAAAAUGUCAUUCUGUGACCAUUCAACACUGACUCAUUGCUUUGACUGUUGUAAUUGUUUCUAAGAUUUCUUUCUACGAUUGGCUGCCAUUCGCCGAACUGAAGUUCAAAAAUAUUCACAAGUCAAGAAUAUCAAGAGGUGCAUCUCAAAAGAAAAUCACGAGCACUACACAGUUUCAUUUUCAAAUUUUAAUUAAGAAAAAAAAAAUUGGUUCAUAUCAUGUGUUUGUUCGCGAGCUAUAAUUAAUUUUCUUCCAUUUCCUUUGAGCCGCUUGAAGUUGUUAAGACAUUAUUGAAGCCAAAAUGAAUAACAUUAAAUCUCCUUCUUUUAUUCAUUUCUCAGAAGUCAAUCUUUUUUUAAUUAGGUAUUCAUCUCCCCAGGCAAAGGUUAUAUUGUUUUAAUGUUUUCAAAAGAACAUUCUAGAAGAAAUUUCAAUUCUUUUCAUUGGCAUCUUUCCUCUUUGGGGAAAAAAAGGCGCUGACGAAAAUACCUUUCUUGGAGAGUCCCUACGUUUUGAACCCCCUUUGGUUUGUUUUGUCGUUUAUUUAUUGAUAUUAUUUAUUUCCUCCCACAUCAUGUAUUGAUUUACUGGUUCAACAAUUACAUACGUCCCGUGAAAAUGUCCCUCAUUUUAAUUUGAAUGUGUGUCACUAGUAUUUGCCUUUUGAGAUUCCGCCUCUCUGCUAAAAUAGGUCUGAAACAGCAACUGAUCAGAAUUUCCGUAGGUUGAAUCGCACAAUUAAAAGUUAAGCGCAGGAAAAAAGUCGAAAAACCCUUCCUUCAAUGCACAGUUUUAGUCGUCUGUACAACGAAUCAUUAAAUUUACUGGAUCCAGGAUCUGACUUUUCUAAGUCGCUAGCAAUCAGAUUUGUAUUCAAGGUUGUGUGGAGACCGCAUGAGCCUCAAUUAGCUGUACUUCAUGUCGUUGUUCCUCUGACGUAAGGAAAAGUAUCUCAUU